rnacentral:tRNA from 1 species
GAGCCUGUAUGGUUCAGGUAAGAACUGCUAAUUACUUACCUCCAUGGUUCAACUCCAUGGCAAGCUCG